rnacentral:misc_RNA from 1 species
CAGCACUCUCCCUUUUCUCGCAUGCGCACCAACGCCCGCCCACUCACAAGCGCAAACGAAGACAAGGCGUCACCCAAGCGUCCACUAUAGUUCACGACAGUGCGGUGUGCCAAGAUGAGAGAGGCAGAGAGCGAUAGAGGAGGGGGGGGAGCGCGAAAGGGGAGAGGGGAGGGAAAACAAAACCUGAGGGGCCGAGGACGUGUACUUGAAGUGUGUGUGUGGGGGAGGGGAAGUUGUGACUGGCGGCAAACGAAGAGGAAAAAAAGGGAAGGGAGGCAGCGACUCAAAGGAGGGGAGAGGUGCUGCACACUCUACUGAUCUCUCCUCUGUCCCUCCCGUUCACUUCCCUUCCUCCUUCCCCCAAUCCUCGCGCGCGCACACACACACACGCACAUACACACACAACAACAGAAAAAAAAAACGUAUGCAAACAGCCUGGUGGCUUUUUUGUGUCGUUCUUGCGUCUGUGAGUCUUUGCUAUGGUUUCGUUUGGUCUCUUCUUUUCGGUCCUUCAUUCUCACGUUGUGUGGUUCGUAUGGUGGUGCUCCACCAUCACUCCUAUGGUUGUUGCUUUUUUUUUGAACACACGUGUGUGCGCGUGCUAGUAGACGCACAGGAGCGCCCGACGACAGGUUCUCCUAAGGUUGUCUUUCAUGUCUCACCCACCUCCUCUCGCUCGUUACUUUUUCUUUUUAUCGUCUCUCUGUCCAUAUCCCUUUCUCUCAUUUAUUUGCCCACCCACCCACCCACACCCCUCUCUGUUCCACGAUGGUUUUUGCGCGCACGCAGAUCUUCUCUUUUCUGGUUGAUCCUCUCACUUUGCUGCUGAGGUUUUUCUUGCUGUUUUUCGUUUUUUUUGUGCUCGGCUUUCUUCUCCACGAUUGUAUUGUGACGUCGUUGUGCAUGGGACGUUCUUAUUCCCCUCCCAUCCCCCUGACACUCCUAAAAUUUUAGUUUUGCACGCCCGCCUUUCUCCUUACUCAGUUUUUCUUGCAAGUGUGUCCGACUCCCUCGUCUACUCAGUUCGUGACCGUUUUUCAGUCGGCCCCGGAUCUCUUCUCCCCUCGUUUUACUUUGUUCGCUGUAUUGGAUGUUCUUCUUUUUAUCGUUUACGUGUUUGAGUGUCCCGUUUCUCUUCUUCUCUCCGCAUGUUCCCUUCUGUUCCAUCUCUAUCCCUCUGUAUGUGUGUGUUUUGUCCAUUUUCUUCCUUGAGGCGUAUCCCCUUGUGCCCGUGUCCGACCCCUCCCCUCCUUUUCUGGUCUGUUUGCCGAUGAGAGGACGACGGCACGAAAAGGCUCUCCUGACGGAAGGGCCUGUAAGGUCCGCACUGAAAAGACCCUCUCCUUAGAGAGCACCGCAGUUGUCUCUGUCUGCAUUUGUGCUCCACCAUGUCCCGCUUGCUCGACAAAUCGCAUUCACUACUCAAGAAACCUGCAGCACUGGCGCACCGGCAUUGAGAGGGGGCGGGAGGGGAGGGGGGCAGUGCCCCACCUUACCUUUCCUGUCCUCUUUCUCACCCUCGUUCUGCAGAUCCUUCAUUCGCGGUGCUGCUGUGUGCUACAACACCUGCCCGUCUGUUUCUGGACCUGCUUGUGCGCCUUUCCCUCUCCUAAAGUCUCCUUGUUACCGCCUCAAGAGACGAUACGGGGUAGCGAUGGUGUGAGUUAUACACGCACGCGCACACACGCGCCCACGUGCCGCGGCUGUUGGGACCGCCCACACAAAAGACAACCACAACACAAACAUCAGCGAUGGUGCUCUCCUCCUGUUUUUUUUUUCUUCCCCAGCGUAAAUUUUUAUUCUAUUAUGUUGUGCGUCUCUGUGCCUUCUUUUCCAUUUCUUCUGAAGUGUACCGCUGCUUAUUCUUUUUUUUUCGUGUGUGUCGGUUUCUCUGCUGCUCAUCGGGAAGGGUAAGGAGGGCCAAUGGACAGUUGAGGAGGGAGAGAAUGGGAGGCCACUGCUGUGCAGUCUCCGCGGUUGCUCCGGCCCCCACCCACUCCUUUCCGCCACUUCUCUCUCAGUGUGCACCUUCCCAAUCCCUACACCGCCUUCUCCCUCUUGCCUUUUCUCCUCUCUGGGCGUGGCCUUAUCCGUGAAGGCGACUCUGAGGAUGUGUCGGCCGAACCCGUGAACAACGUCACCGACACGGACGCACACGUGUGCAGGAAGGGCAAGGCCCAUUAGAGAGAGCGAGAUGGAGUGACUAAAGUGCUCCUUCGUUUUUGUUUUCACUCUAAUCAUCUCUCCGCGUGAGAAAAACUUUAUUUGUUGUUUGCGCCUCUCUCUCCCUCUGUGUGUGUCUGUUCGGCCUUUUACGCAUUUUAUUUUCUCUCUUUUUCCGUCCUGGGCCCUUCGUCUGACUUGCCCUGGCGAUUGUUGAGGUGUCUUCUGCGUGUUCGCGAGCAAGCAGAGGCGACUUGAAUCCCCCAUCCUCUCCCCCCAAACACGGAAGCAUCAUCGAACGACAACUUCGACUUGUGCAAUGAAUGAGGUGAGGCGGCAUAUUCAGUUGCACAUCUCUUUUUCCCCUUUUUAUGCAUAUCGAAUACAAGGCACAUACAUCUAAGAAAGCAAGCCGAGCAACAACAAAACUAUCCAUUGCCGAAACGUCUCGCUGUGCUGAAGUACACAAGUGUGUGCAGAUGUGAGAGUAUAUGUGCUUUUCCCCUUUUCCCGUUCUUCAGUGCGUCUUCGCUGACAUCAGUCUCACUUUUCUUUUUGGACUUUGCUUUUCGAUUUUGGACUCUUCUGCCGUUAGCCUCCCGCCUCUGACUACUACCGUUUGUGCGUGGGCUCCUCAGAUUAUCAACUCUCAUCCAUACCUUGACUUCUUUGUUUUCAAUCUUGACCGUAGCGCUGGCCCUCAUGAUACUAACCACCUCACCGCGGAAUCAGGGCGUAGUACCCACUCUCGGUGCCGGCGGACGGGUCUGGGGCGGCGCUGUGCGGAAGAGAUGCGCCGUCGUGAUGGUCACGCUUGGGCCGGCGCACUACGAACCCCGCGCGACGAUUCGGAAAACAUAUGCACCCGCCUACCGCUUUUCUGCCUUUGCCGCGCUGCAGUGAUGUUGAGCGUGAUCCGGGACCUCGGCUGCGCUGUGAGGCAGUGACAUUGCAAUGGACGGAACGACGCCACGCGGUGCUAGCGGGGCCGGCUCCCUGGCAUAGCCGAAGUGCCACAGAGACACGAGACCUGUGAUUGUGUAUGCGUCUAUUUGCUGACUUUCCGGCUGUAGAAUGACACGUUGGAAAUUUUAUGUUGCCUGACUGAUAACUUUAACCAUCUUCGUGUUUGCUUGCAUUUGUGCGUAUCUGGGCAUACGCACCCGUUGGUCUCUCUCUUUUCCCGUAUGCGUGGAUACCCUUUCUUACGGCCCUUGGCAGUUGAGGUGGCGGAUGCUAGAGCUCUACCUGAUGAAGCCUGUUUUGUUUUGCUGUAUGCUUUUUUGCGACAUCGGCGAUGACUGUCUUCUCGUGCGACGUGAUCGACUGCCCGAGGUCUUUCAGCACAUUGGAGUGCGUAGUUGAGUCUGCACUGCACGCGCGGCGAAGUGAAACACGACUACGGGCACCGACGCACAUGCAUACAUGCUUACACAGGGGCACCCUUAUACGCUUUCUUCUUCCCUCUCUCUCCGCUAAGCCCACUUUCCUUCGUUUCUUUCACGCGUUUCCUCCGUCGCCUUCGCUCUUCUGGAAGUCUCGCAACGCCCUCACUGCAUUGGUGUUUUCCACUUUUUGAAUGCCCCUCCAUGCUCCCCGCCUUUUUUCUUCAGCUUUUCCUCGCCCUUUGUGUGUCUUGCAUGCUAUUCCGUUACCUUUUUUGUGUGCUUUCCCGUUUUCAUGACGACAUUCAACAUGAGUGGUUCUCUUUCCCCUCUCUUUCUCUCCCCACUCUCUUUUCCCGGCGCUUACCACUUUUUCCCCUCCCCUCCCCUCCCCUCCCCUUCCCCCACACACGAGUGCCGUUUUGCUUGUUUCUUUGGCUUCUCUCCCCGUGCGUGCGUGAGCAUGUGUGUGUCUGUGUCGAUUCCCCCCUCCACUCUGCUUACAAGUGUGUACGCGCUUGUGUGCUUGGUGGGGCAUUCGAGUGAGGCGUUGAUACCUCGCUCCUUUCCCCCUUCCCCCUCAGUGACCCAGUGGGCGUCAUCAGACUCCUGCCCCUUUUUUCCUUAACUGUUUCUUUUUUUUCUCUAGUUUAUGGAGGAAACACACACACACACACACGCACGCACACACACAUACAGAAACACGCAAUGAAAGCAGCAAUCCAAGUGCACGGGAAGCUUCGUGCUACCCCUGUCCCUCCCUCACAUCUAUGUCUCACACACACGCAUACACACAUAUAUGCGAGAACCCGCGCACGUUCGCGUGUGAGAACAUGUAUGUGUAUGCAUGUGUGCUCCCUUUGUUGUUGUUCUUGGUGGUUCUUCCACCAACGGAGUCGACUGUUUGCACGACAAUUUAUGUUAUUUUCCUCGAUUGUUUCAUGGGCGCCACCUCUGCAGCACAGCCAGAACACUUCCAGAAAACGAGUAGCGCACGGGAAUAAAAGAGAGAGAGGGACAUGCAAACAGAGACACGCACGCGUUAGCGAGGAUGUCUGAGGAAUUAGGCGGAGGUGAGAGCGAGAGCGCACGCAGUACAUGGGCUGAUAGCGGGUGUGAUGGCGCGCUUGAACAUUUUCUGUUAGCGAUGACGCGCACAUGCGUGUGCUUGUGAGCCGCUACACGAAACUGAAAGGGCAAGCGAAUGGAUGAGGGUGUGCGAGGCUUGUGCAACACCAGCUGGACUCAAGAACUACCCAGUGACCGGUGCGCCGAAGAAGUACGCACCCCUCAACAGGCACGCACACACCAUGAUGAACGCGAGUAAGACUGCGAACCGCCUUAAGACGCACCACGCUUUUUUAUCAACGUUUCCUUUUCGCGGCUUCAUCUGUUGUUUUGUAUCGGGAUGCAUGCGAUUCAAAAAACAUCAAGCACGUCGAAGGCAGCGAAGACGAGUCCUAAUCCUAUGGGAGUCGUGAAUAAGAUCUAGAGGAGAGGGAGAGAGAGAAAGCAGACCCGGGAGAUGGGGUCACACGAGGAGCAGCAACUGCACGGAUGAGCGGCGAAACACAGCAGCGAAGGAGAGAGGGUAUGUGAGCAGAUUAUCGGAGGUCAGCGGCAGGAAGGCAUGCAUGAACACAGGCAGACCCUCUAUCCCAAGGACAAAGAAUAGCGGUAAUGCGCAUGAAAAAUGCCGAUCGAGUUGCUUGGGAAACAGGAAGGACAAAAUAAACGUGUGGUGAUGGUGGCAGGGCGGAGAGGAGGCUUUGUGUGUGGUCAGCAAGGUCUCUGCCUACCUUCUUGAGCUUAUCACGAAAAACAAAUCUGAGACGACACCUUCAUCCUCCUUUCCCUCGCCUCUCCCUCCACUGCGCACUCACAUCUCCCCCUGGCUUGCCAUUCACGACCGCUGCGUGGUUGAUCUCCUUUGCCCGCCCCCCCUUCGCUCUUGCCUGCUGAUUGGUGCUCUGUCGGAAAAAAAAAAG